rnacentral:lncRNA from 1 species
AGUGUUCUGCCAACUCGCUCCACGACUGUCUAGUUCCAUCUGGCCCCAGCCCACUUUUGUUUUAUGCCUUUGGCUAUUGGUAGCAAAAAAUCAGUGGCUACACUAGCUGGAGACUGUCAAGGCCAGCCCGAGGAACCAAGAGCAGACUGGGAUCUGGAGAAUGCUGUCAGUGAAGUUUACUUGUGAUAGACUGUCUGCCUGAGCCCUUAUUGCAUUGUACCUGCAUUACCCAAGAGGUAAAAGAAGGAAGAGAAAUGGAUGGGAAUGGGUCAGAGGAACAACACACACUUUUAGGAGAAAGGAGAUUAAGAAAUAUCUGCUUCAUGUAUUCUAUUGUGGCCUGAAUUUCUCAUGAAUGUGGGCCCACUCAUUGAUUCUCUGCAGAUACAGCACACAUCUUCCAUAACCAGAAGCACUCCAAGAACAACACUUUCAUUCAUGGACUUAACAACUACAUUAGAUCAUACCAGCCUGUCACUUCAAAGUCGCCAGUGUCAAGCUUUGUUUCCUGCAAUGUACAGAAGAAAUGGCUUUUAUAGGAAAAAAAGUCUUCAAAAGUCAUUUUAAAAAUAAAAGGACAUAUAUGCAAGUGAUCAUAACGAUAUACAAGAUUAAGUGGGGAUUAAGGGAAAGAGGCUAUUUAGGAUUUCUAACAUUUUGAAUCUGGAUACCUAAAAGUGUGGUCUUGACAAAUAAAAGAUAUGGGAGGAGAUUAAAAUGAGGAAAAAUUGAAGAGUUCUGCCUUGCAAAUGUUGAGUUUCUGCUGACAGUGCAUUGUCCAUGUAUGAGUCAUUUGAAAAUGUAGAAUUGGAAUUCAAGAUGAGAGAUACAGAUGUAAAAGUCAUAGGAAAAUUAGCAAAACAUGAGCAUUUUCAGAAUAAGUAAUUCCACAAGGAGAUCUAUCCAGAGAAGGAAUUUGAGGCCGAAUCCUUAAGAAACAGUAAUGUUCAAGGGAAACAAAGAGCAUCUUCUAUGGUCUGAAUGCAUCCCCACAAAAUUCAUGUUAAAAGUUAUUUGCCAAUGUGAUGAUAUUAAGAUGUAGGGCCUUUGGGAGCUGAUUAGGUUAUGAGGGUGGAACCCUUGUGAAUGGAUUAGUGCCCCUAUAAAAGGAUUCAAGGAAACUAGCUAGGCCCGUCUCCCUUUCUGUCCCUUCUGCCAUGUGAGGACAUAGCAUUAGUCCCUGCUGAAGGAUGCAGCAACACGAUGCCAUUUUGGAAGCAAAGUCCAGGCCCUCACCAGACUUAACCUGCCAGCACCUUUAUUUUGGACUUCCCAGCCUCCAGAACCAUAAGAAAUAAAUUUGUUGUUUAUAAAUUACCCAGUUUCUGGUAUUUUGUGAUAGCAGCACAAACAGACUAAGACAGUACCUGACAAAGGGAG